UACGGAGGGGGCUAGCGUUGUUCGGAAUUAUGCUGGGCGUAAAGCGCGCGUAGGCGGACCUGCAAGUCGGGGGUGAAAGCUCGAGGCUCAACCUCGGAACUGCCUUCGAUACUGCGGGUCUCGAGUCCGGGAAGAGGUGAGUGGAAUUCCUAGUGUAGAGGUGAAAUUCGUAGAUAUUAGGAAGAACACCAGUGGCGAAGGCGGCUCACUGGCCCGGUACGU
rnacentral:rRNA from 1 species